rnacentral:rRNA from 1 species
AACGUAGGAACCGAGCGUUAUCCGGAUUCACUGGGCGUAAAGCGCCUGCAGGCGGUCUUGUAAGUUGGACGUGAAAUCUCCUGGCUCAACUGGGAGGGGCCGUUCAAUACUGCAGGGCUUGAGGGCAGAAGAGGGAAGUGGAAUUCCCGGUGUAGUGGUGAAAUGCGUAGAUAUCGGGAGGAACACCAGUGGCGAAGGCGGCUUCCUGGUCUGUACCUGACGCUAAGAGGCGAAAGCUAGGGGAGCGAACGGGAUUAGAAACCCCGGUAGUCCUAGCUGUAAACGAUGGACGCUAGGUGUAGGUGGUCCUAACCCCAUCUGUGCCGAAGCUAACGCGUUAAGCGUCCCGCCUGGGGACUACGACCGCAAGGUUAAAACUCAAAGGAAUUGACGGGGCCCCGCACAAGCAGCGGAGCGUGUGGUUUAAUUCGAUGCUACACGAAGAACCUUACCCGGGUUUGACAUGCAGGUGGUAGUGAAACGAAAGUGGAACGACCCUUCGGGGAGCUUGCACAGGUGCUGCAUGGCUGUCGUCAGCUCGUGCCGUGAGGUGUUGGGUUAAGUCCCCUAACGAGCGCAACCCUCGCCGCCAGUUACAAGUGUCUGGCGGGACUGCCGAUCUAAAAUCGGAGGAAGGUGGGGAUGACGUCAAGUCAGCAUGGCCUUUAUAUCCGGGGCUACACACACGCUACAAUGGCCAGUACAAUGGGUUGCCAACCCGCGAGGGGGAGCCAAUCCCACAAAGCUGGUCUCAGUUCGGAUUGGAGGCUGCAACCCGCCUCCAUGAAGCCGGAGUUGCUAGUAAACGCGCGUCAGCUAUAGUGCGUUGAAUACGUUCCCGGGGCU